UACAGAGGUCUCAAGCGUUGUUCGGAUUCAUUGGGCGUAAAGAGCGUGUAGGCGGCCAUACAGGUCCGUUGUGAAAACUGGAGGCUUAACCUCCAGACGUCGAUGGAAACCGUAUGGCUAGAGUCCGGAAGAGGAGAGUGGAAUUCCUGGUGUAGCGGUGAAAUGCGCAGAUAUCAGGAAGAACACCCGUGGCGAAGGCGGCUCUCUGGGACGGUACUGACGCUGAGACGCGAAAGCGUGGGGAGCGAACAGG
rnacentral:rRNA from 1 species